rnacentral:rRNA from 1 species
GGCGCACGGGUGAGUAACGCGUGGGAACCUACCCAGGGGUGGGGGAUAACCGCUGGAAACGGCGGCUAAUACCGCAUACGCCUUUUUGAGGGAAAGAUUUAUCGCCCUUGGAUGGGCCCGCGUUGGAUUAGGUAGUUGGUGGGGUAAAGGCCUACCAAGCCUACGAUCUAUAGCUGGUCUGAGAGGAUGAUCAGCCACACUGGGACUGAGACACGGCCCAGACUCCUACGGGAGGCAGCAGUGGGGAAUCUUGGACAAUGGGGGCAACCCUGAUCCAGCCAUGCCGCGUGAGUGAAGAAGGCCUUAGGGUUGUAAAGCUCUUUCAACGGUGAAGAUGAUGACUGUAGCCGUAGAAGAAGCCCCGGCUAACUCCGUGCCAGCAGCCGCGGUAAUACGGAGGGGGCAAGCGUUGUUCGGAAUUACUGGGCGUAAAGGGCGUGUAGGCGGCCAAGCAAGUCAGAGGUGAAAGCCCUGGGCUCAACCUGGGAACUGCCUUUGAAACUGUUUGGCUUGA